ACAGUCCCAGCUACUCAGGAGGCUGAGGCAAGAGAUCAGUUGAGCCCAGGAGUUUGAGGCUGUAGUGAGCUUUGAUCACACAACUGCACUCCAGCCUGGGUGAAAGAGUGAGACCUCAUUUCUUAGAGAGAGAGAGAAAGGCAAUAUGGAUGGGCUUGGAAGGGGAGAGACAGAGAGAGAGGGGAUAAAUGUAGGUGUUGUCU
rnacentral:lncRNA from 10 species